UUAAAGUUUGACCCCCCGAAACUAAGUGAGCUACUUCGAAACAGCUGUAAGAGCUAACCCGUCUCUGUAGCAAAAGAGUGGGAUGAUUUCCAAGUAGAGGUGAUAAGCCUACCGAACUUAGAGAUAGCUGGUUGCUUAAGAAAAGAAUAUUAGUUCUGCCUUAAGUCUCCCCGAUAAACAAAAACUUAUACUAGACUUAAGAGUUACUCAAAUAAGGCACAGCUUAUUUGAAACAGGAUACAACCUUAAACAUCGGGUAAUUUUUUAUCGUUUGUAACAAGUGGGCCUAAAAGCAGCCACCUUUCAAAAAGCGUUAAAGCUUUGUACAUAUGAUACCUUAAUGUCAACAUAAACUUAAAACCCUUUAAUAAUAUUAAGCAACUCCAUAUACCUAUGGAAGCUAUUAUGCUAGAACUAGUAACAAGAAAUUGAAUUUCUCCAAAAUGUAAGCUUAAGCCACAAUUGACGCCCUAUCGGCAAUUAACGUUCAUGAAACUACUGUAGCAACAACAUCAAGAAAACCCUACUUUCCUAGACGUUAACCUUACACUAGAACAUUUAUGGAAGGAUUAAAAGGGAAAGAAGGAACUCGGCAAAUCUUGACCCCGCCUGUUUACCAAAAACACCGGCUCUUGCUUAAUUAUAAGAGGUCUAGCCUGCCCGGUGAUNCNAUUUAACGGCCGCGGUACCCUAUCCGUGCGAAGGUNNCAUUAUCNCUUGUUCUUUAAAUGGGGACUUGUAUCAACGGCAUCACGAGGGUUGUACUGUCUCCUUUCCCCAAUCAGUGAAACUGAUCUCUCCGUGAAGAAGCGGAGAUAGAAUUAUAAGACGAGAAGACCCCAUGGAGCUUUAAACCCAGCAACUACCUCUGUUUAAACACACCCACAUAAGUAACAGAACCCUAUUUGUCUGGUUUUAGGUUGGGGUGACCGCGGAGUAUAAAAUAGCCUCCACGAUGAAUGGGCUAACCCCUUAAUCUAAGAGUCACACCUCUAAGAAUUAGCAAUCUAACAUAAACUGAUCCGACUAUCGAUCAACGAACCAAGUUACCCUGGGGAUAACAGCGCAAUCCACUUUAAGAGCUCCUAUCGACAAGUGGGUUUACGACCUCGAUGUUGGAUCAGGGUAUCCUAGUGGUGCAGCAG
rnacentral:rRNA from 1 species